rnacentral:lncRNA from 1 species
UGGCAUAGCAACCCCAAGCUCUUCUCCUUCCGACUCGGCUGGGAUUUCUCAAAUUCGUCUCCUGAUAAGUGUUCCUGCAGAGGGAAAGGUCAACAGCCUUCCAACAGCUCCGGGCUCCACACUGACCGUCCCUUCAUCCACAAGCCCCCAAACGCCACCCAGCCUCCCUGUAAACCUACGUGCAAACAGUCUCUAGCUUCAGGUUCGAGAUGGCUGUAGCAAGCACCCACCUGUGCACUGAUCCGGGCUGCGGACGGAGCGCACGAGCCCGGGUUCCGAUGGAGCACGCACCGAGCCUGCAUCGGGGGAGAUGCUGAAGUUUCUCGCCUGACACACACGUGCACAGGCUCAGAAGGAAGGACUUGUGAAGUGGCCUGAGAACAACCCUCCAAUUCAGCCUCUGCGCUCUAAGCGCACGACCGGGCAUUUACAAAGGGCUUUGGGAUCUUGACCCCCUUUUUCAGGCUUCUUUCAAUACACGAAGUACUGGGGCGAGGGAAGGAUUCCCUAGGUGCCGAAAUCACCGCGAUGCCAAAGCGCACCGUACGCUGCGCUCCCGGUCCCAGGUGCCCUUCUACUAUGGACUCCUCCCUCUGACCCCCACCUUGUGAUCCCAGAGAACAGGAGAGAGAAGACUUUGUCCUCACUUGGUCUUCCCAGCAUCUAGCCCUGACCAAGGAGAGGAAGGGCUCGGUGAACACUGAUUGGCUAAGGUUCUACCUUAGCAGGCUAUCCUACCAAGUAGCGAGGAUGCUUUUCUCCCCGCCUGAAGCGUCAAGUGCAAUUGUGAACACGCACCAAGUGCUCAGUAAGGGAUGUGAACCUGUUUUGUACAAAUUGGUGGCUUGUUUGGGUUCUUCAGAAUUGUGGCUUCUGAUUCACUGGAGGUGGCUGUGCCCCUACCCCGCAACCCCCUGAAGUGGCUGGCAUUGGUGCAAAUGAGGCUGUUGAACCUGAUCGUGUUCUCUCUGGCCUUGGACCUGAGUGCUGCAGAGAGAGAGAGAGAGGGAGACUCUGAUGGCUCUGAAGAUCAUGGCCCUUCCCAUAUGAGGUUCUAGGCAGUAUUCCUGAGCCGGUCUCUUGCUCACUCCCCAGCCCUUUUGAAUACCCCUUUUCGGUAUGAAUUUGAUGAUCUAAUUUGACUAUCUCUCAAAUGCUCAGGUGUGUUACAGUUUUACUCUUCACUGUAUCAGUUUGUCACACGGUUAAGAGAGCAGGAUCUACCCUUCACUCGGGGUCAUUCUCUGCAUCCUAGCUGAUGUUCAGUGAAAGCUCCAAGGGUUUGUCAAUGUGGAAACUGGUUGGCAGUCAAUCGAUGGUCUCGCAGCCACAGUUAGAGAUGAGCUGCAUCUGGGUCUGCCCAUGUGCUUUUAGAAUAGGCUGAACUUUAUAACACAUUCAAUCUUUGGAAUAAACUGCCACCGUUUUAUUGUUAGUUGAACUAUAUACAAGGUUGCUGGGGUAGGAUAUUUCAGGGGCAGAGUGCUUGCCUAGCAUGCAUGAGACUGUAGGUGGACUCCAUCCCCAGGACCAAAAUAAUAAUUUUAUUCAUAGAGGAAGAUGUUUGCCUGGGUUCAAUGCCCAACAACUCCAGCUUUGGAGGAUCCAAAUGCUUCUGUCUUCUGAGGUCACUAGCAUGGACAUAGCCCCUACCACACAUGUACACACAAUUAAAAAACAAAGCAUAGGAUUUGGAGUAAAACAGACUUUGCUUUUAAAGCCCCAUAAUAAUAUUGCAAUGCUGUAGACAUGAACACUUUCUCAACAACCCCCAUACACAUAUACUGAAAGAGAAAUUAAAAUAUAACCCUGAGUGGGCCUUACAAGGAGAAGAUGAGUUAGUGCAUGAAAAACAGCAGUGUUUAGCAUGUGCUAAAUAAAGAAAGCUGUUAUAUAUUGCCAUGUGUAAUCUAAUCCAAAACAAUCCAUACAUGUGUGUAUCUGGAUUUGCCUUUAAAAAAAAAAA